GGAAGAAACAGGAACGUCCUCUCUUUUCUGCUGGGAAGCUAAUGAGCUAAAGGUAGGACCCCGAUUGGUCAGCUGGACAGUCUGGGUCAAGAGGCCGUUGGGCAGGAGGGACAGCUCCACUCGCCUUCUUGUUCUGAACAGAGCUGGCAGUCCAAAGAAAGACCUGUCACUGGUUUGGCUCCUUGAAAAACAUUCCAUUCACAUCAGAUAUCAAGGAGAGGCUCCAUCUUUCUCAAGUUCCUUCACUCCAUCGAAGACACCCACACUGCAUUUAGGAAAUUCUCUUACAUUUUAUUUGAAACUCUCUCAUCAACACAGCUCGGAACAGCACUGAUGGAUGUGUCUUCUCUGCAGAUUAACAUCAUGAUGUAAUUCUGGAAACUAAGAAUGCAGGAAUCUUUGUGACAAUGGGAUGCCAAGGCUAAGCUCUACAGUAAAGCCCAUUCAUCCCAGCAGGGAAUCCUCUUUUAACAGAGAAGUUUCUAAGCCAUUGGGGGUGGGGCACUGGAGAGACGGCUCAGUGGGUAAGGCACCUGCUAUGCAAGCAGGAAUAGCAGUCCAAAUCUGGAUUCUCAGCAUCCACACAAAGCCAGAUGUGGAAGUACAGUGCUCCUAUCGUGAGAUGGGAGAUGGAGACAGCAGAAUCCCAGGAAGCUUGGGCCAACGGGGCUGGAAUGCCAGAAGAACAAGAGACCCUGUCUCCAAACAAGAUAGAAAGUAAGGACUGACACCCAAGGCUGUUCUCUGACCUCUGCAGGGUCCAGGGCAAGUUAGUACACACUUGCCACUUUGCUACAGUCCUGUCAAGGCUCAAGUAGGCCUAAGUUAUCAGUUUACCCUAAAGCAACACCUGACUCCAGGGAAAGAGCACAGACUGAGACCACCCAGGCAGCACCCAGGAAGGACCAGCUAAGGAGGAAGCACCAAAAGAAAUUCCCAAUGUUUCAACCAUUGUAGAUAGGAUCACCUGAUGUCCGAUAGCCUAGCACAUACCCAUCCCAUUUCACCAAGACAACCCUAGACAAAUGUCAGCCAAUCAGGGUCUUGAACCCUGAAAAUCCCCUCACUCCCAACCUCUACUAUGAUAAAAACAAAAAAACUCUACACCACCCAGGUUGGGCACUCUCUGCUCUCAACCACUUUGUCAGCUCGAACUUGAAUAAAGGCUCUUUGCUUUCACA